AGCAGCCUGCUGUGUACGUGUAUAUGAAUAGGUGUUUUGAGCCAACACUAAUUAAACGGGAAAAUGUCUCUGAGUAUGUAUUGCAUGCCCUGAACCAAAAACUUCAAGGAAGCAUGAAGUAAUCAGGAAUUUACCCACCUGCUUUAGCAGGUUCAAAGCAUUCAUAUUACGGCACAGCGGGUUUUUC
rnacentral:other from 1 species